CCGUCCUAUGGAGCCGUGUCGUUGCCGCUCAGUCCACUGCCAGAGACAGACGCGAAGAGGGAGCGGGAGUCUCAAAGCCAGCUGUGUCCUCACCGCCGCAAAGGAAAUCGUCGCCGUUCCCUGAAGCCCGUGUCGCCGUCGAGUCCAGAUGAAAGGAGAGACCGGGCCUGAGCCUCGACGAGCUGGGAAGAACCAGCGCCACAGCUGCGCCGUCGUCGUGGACACCACCGCCUCCGUUGGAACGGCCAUAGCCACUGCCACCAUCUGAGCUCGCCGUUGCUGGUGAUGGUUAGUUGAACCGUUGUCAGGAGAGGGUUCAGAUCCGCCGCUGCCGGAGCUUCUAGCCGAGCCUCAACCGCCGGGAACGCUGCUGCCGCCACCGAGCUCCACUGCCGAUCGCCGCUGCUGCUUGGGGCUGACUGCCGGGUUGCCGCCGAACCGGUUCGGAGACCGCCGCUGUUUCGGUUCAACCGUUCUUUCUUCGGUUCGAGUUGUUGAGACCGUUGCGAAAGUGGCUUGGAACCGAGGUUUUGGCUGUCGGGAUUUUGAUUGUUGACCUCGGGUCAAGGCGGAAAGGAUUAUGUGACGCGUUUGGGCUAUGGAAUUGCGUUUUGAGGUAGGGGCGCUUUCCGAAAACUAUAGUUUAUUAUUGGAAUUAUUACAUAUGGGUACUGAUGUGAGAUAUUGUGUAUUUGGUGAUUGUACCUUCCUUAUGUAUUAUUU